UACGUAGGGUGCGAGCGUUAAUCGGAAUUACUGGGCGGAAAGCGUGCGCAGGCGGUUUUGUAAGCCAGAUGUGAAAUCCCCGGGCUUAACCUGGGAAUGGCAUUUGGGACUGCAAGGCUUGAGUGCGGCAGAGGAGACUGGAAUUCCUGGUGUAGCAGUGAAAUGCGUAGAUAUCAGGAGGAACACCGAUGGCGAAGGCAGGUCUCUGGGCUGACACUGACGCUCAUGCACGAAAGCAUGGGGAGCAAACAGG
rnacentral:rRNA from 1 species